rnacentral:lncRNA from 1 species
GAAGAUUAAAGUAAGUGAUGGUAAUAAUAAUGGUAGUGAUUUAUAGAGUAACCAUCCACGUAUAAAUUAAAAAAAGCAUAUCUAUUAAGACAUUGGAGCAAAGAUAGCACUAGUGGGUUAAGAGGAUAGUUUGUGUAGGAGUGGCUAAAGUAGACAACAAGUUAGUAAUAAAAGACUUUUAGACAGUGUCCCCACUGAGAAUUAAAAGGGGAGAGAAGCAUAAUCAUUUUAGCGAAGAUGGGGAAGUUGGGUUUGCAAUCACAAUCCCAAAGAAUCAAUUAAUGGAAUGGGCAAGACUAUAAGUCAUAUUCGGAAGUAUAUUAUGUAAGUGGGAGGGUGAUGCUUACACUUGAACACUCCAAUCUGUCAAAAGGGCAGAGAAAAAGAAUAGUUGCAAAUGUUCCUCCUUUUCAUAUAUAUAUAGUUUUUUUCUUAUUUUCUUCAGUUCCUCUCUGCCAUUGAAAGACGUGUUAUGAGGGUAUUCAUGAGAAGCAAGAAUUGGAUGGUUUGAAUUUGUCAAGUGUGGGAGGUUUGGACUUUGUGAUUCACGUUUAUUAUAGUCAAUGUCAAAAAGCCAUAAUUAGAUGACUAAGUUGAUGUCCCAAUCUUCCAAUGACCAAAUUGACAUUUAAAAAAAGAUUCCACAAAUAAUAUAUAGCUCUAUGUUAUACAAUAGUAUUAAUCAUU